UACGGGGGGGGCAAGCGUUGUUCGGAAUUACUGGGCGUAAAGGGCUCGUAGGCGGCCCACUAAGUCCGACGUGAAAUCCCCAGGCUUAACUUGGGAACUGCGUCGGAUACUGGUGGGCUUGAAUCCGGGAGAGGGAUGCGGAAUUCCAGGUGUAGCGGUGAAAUGCGUAGAUAUCUGGAGGAACACCGGUGGCGAAGGCGGCAUCCUGGACCGGCAUUGACGCUGAGCGAGCGAAAGCCAGGGGAGCAAGCGGG
rnacentral:rRNA from 1 species